CCUACGGGUGGCAGCAGUGGGGAAUAUUGCACAAUGGGGGAAACCCUGAUGCAGCGACGCCGCGUGAGUGAAGAAGUAUUUCGGUAUGUAAAGCUCUAUCAGCAGGGAAGAAAAUGACGGUACGUGAUGAAGAAGCCACGGCUAACUACGUGCCAGCAGCGGCCGUAAUACGUAGGGGGCAAGCGUUAUCCGGAUUUAUUGGGUGUAAAGGGAGCGUCGGCGGAAGCACAAGUCUGGAGUGAAAUGCCGGGGCUUAACCCCGGAACUGCUUUGGAAACUGUGCAGCUAGAGUGCAGGAGAGGUAAGUGGAAUUCCUAGUGUAGCGGUGAAAUGCGUAGAUAUUAGGAGGAACACCAGUGGCGAAGGCGGCUUACUGGAUGGUAACUGACGUUGAGGCUCGAAAGCGUGGGGAGCAAACAGGAUUAGAUACCCCUGUAGUC
rnacentral:rRNA from 1 species